rnacentral:lncRNA from 1 species
UUCUAUAGAGAGAAGGAAAGAAAGAAGAAAGGAAAAUGAAAAAAUUACUAUGUACUUUGUUCGACAUCACUUGCAGAAACUCAACAGAAAGAGAAACAGUCCCAGGUUAUGCUGCCCCUUCCCACGCCCAUCCUCACAUUUAGAUUCUUCAGAGUCCCAUCCGCAGUGACAGGGCGCACAGUGCACCAGGUAGAGAAGCAGGGAGCGUUGCAGGGAUGGUUUUCUACACGCGAAGACCCGAAGGGAUUCGACGUAGAGCACGUCACAGGAGUCGCAACAGUGUAUUUCCGAAGUGGAAGAGGCAGGAGAGGGCAAAUGGCUGACCUUUCCCGCCCGAUUGCAGGUUCUUUUCCUGUGACAUGGACACGGGUGCAGAAACAUUUCUCCACUCCGAAACAGACACAGCGCAAGCAUGAUGACCUUCACAACGGCCCGCGUCCUCAGCAGGGAGCAGGACGGAGGCGAGGAGAUUGGCUGUGGGUAAGCGCAAGAAAGGGGCACAAUGAUGCAGGACUUUCCAUACCGGCCGUCGCCCCUCUGAGAGAAAGACAACGCAGGCGAGAAGGAUGCAGAAGUCCAAGAUGUACUGCACUUUUGAAGAAGGAGAUCAAGGAAGGCUUAACGGAGGUACUGGAGAUAAACAAACCGAUGAAUGAACAAAGUCCUUUCUUCUAAGGAAAGAAAGAUAAUAAUGAAGAACCAAGUAAGAGAAUGUCAGAUCGUGGUUCCUUGCAACAAAGGACAUAAACCAAGGAAACUGUGCCAAGGACCCCUGUAGACCUAAAAUGAAGAUAUGCUGGAUUUCUGCCUUUACAAUGUGGAGGAGUCUGCGCGGAGCAGAAACUCGGCAGGUGCCGAAGGAGAAACGAGUGGCUCACGUCGAAG